rnacentral:rRNA from 1 species
GGGAUGCGGCGGCUUAACAUGCAAGUCGAACGGAAAGGCCCUUCGGGGUACUCGAGUGGCGAACGGGUGAGUAACACGUGGGUGAUCUGCCCUGCACUUUGGGAUAAGCCUGGGAAACUGGGUCUAAUACCGAAUACACCCUGCUGGUCGCAUGGCCUGGUAGGGGAAAGCUUUUGCGGUGUGGGAUGGGCCCGCGGCCUAUCAGCUUGUUGGUGGGGUGAUGGCCUACCAAGGCGACGACGGGUAGCCGGCCUGAGAGGGUGACCGGCCACACUGGGACUGAGAUACGGCCCAGACUCCUACGGGAGGCAGCAGUGGGGAAUAUUGCACAAUGGGCGCAAGCCUGAUGCAGCGACGCCGCGUGAGGGAUGACGGCCUUCGGGUUGUAAACCUCUUUCAGCACAGACGAAGCGCAAGUGACGGUAUGUGCAGAAGAAGGACCGGCCAACUACGUGCCAGCAGCCGCGGUAAUACGUAGGGUCCGAGCGUUGUCCGGAAUUACUGGGCGUAAAGAGCUCGUAGGUGGUUUGUCGCGUUGUUCGUGAAAACUCACAGCUUAACUGUGGGCGUGCGGGCGAUACGGGCAGACUAGAGUACUGCAGGGGAGACUGGAAUUCCUGGUGUAGCGGUGGAAUGCGCAGAUAUCAGGAGGAACACCGGUGGCGAAGGCGGGUCUCUGGGCAGUAACUGACGCUGAGGAGCGAAAGCGUGGGGAGCGAACAGGAUUAGAUACCCUGGUAGUCCACGCCGUAAACGUGGGUACUACGUGUGGGUUUCCUUCCUUGGGAUCGUGCCGUAGCUAACGCAUUAAGUACCCCGCCUGGGGAGUACGCCGCAAGCUAAACUCAAAGAAUUGACGGGGCCCGCACAGCCGCGAGCAUGUGAUAAUUCGAUGCACGCGAGAACUUUACUUGGGGUUGGACAAUUGCCACAAUGAUACCUGGGUUUGACAUGCACAGGACGCCGGCAGAGAUGUCGGUUCCCUUGUGGCCUGUGUGCAGGUGGUGCAUGGCUGUCGUCAGCUCGUGUCGUGAGAUGUUGGGUUAAGUCCCGCAACGAGCGCAACCCUUGUCUCAUGUUGCCAGCACGUUAUGGUGGGGACUCGUGAGAGACUGCCGGGGUCAACUCGGAGGAAGGUGGGGAUGACGUCAAGUCAUCAUGCCCCUUAUGUCCAGGGCUUCACACAUGCUACAAUGGCCGGUACAAAGGGCUGCGAUGCCGUGAGGUGGAGCGAAUCCUUUCAAAGCCGGUCUCAGUUCGGAUCGGGGUCUGCAACUCGACCCCGUGAAGUCGGAGUCGCUAGUAAUCGCAGAUCAGCAACGCUGCGGUGAAUACGUUCCCGGGCCUUGUACACACCGCCCGUCAGGUCAUGAAAGUCGGUAACACCCGAAGCCGGUGGCCUAACCCCUCGUGGGAGGGAGCCGUCGAAGUUGAUUUACCCCC